UACGUAGGGUGCGAGCGUUGUCCGGAAUUAUUGGGCGUAAAGAGCUUGUAGGCGGUUUGUCGCGUCUGCCGUGAAAGCCCAGGGCUUAACCCUGGGUCUGCGGUGGGUACGGGCAGACUAGAGUGUGGUAGGGGAGACUGGAAUUCCUGGUGUAGCGGUGAAAUGCGCAGAUAUCAGGAGGAACACCGAUGGCGAAGGCAGGUCUCUGGGCCACUACUGACGUGAGAAGCGAAAGCAUGGGGAGCAAACAGG
rnacentral:rRNA from 1 species